rnacentral:rRNA from 1 species
UACAGAGGGGGCAAGCGUUGUUCGGAAUUACUGGGCGUAAAGGGCGCGUAGGCGGCCAUAUAAGUCGGGGGUGAAAGCCUGUGGCUCAACCACAGAAUUGCCUUCGAUACUGUAUGGCUCGAGACCGGAAGAGGUAAGUGGAACUGCGAGUGUAGAGGUGAAAUUCGUAGAUAUUCGCAAGAACACCAGUGGCGAAGGCGGCUUACUGGUCCGGUUCUGACGCUGAGGCGCGAAAGCGUGGGGAGCAAACAGG